GGAAGCGGAAAGGGCGCUGGUGGCCCUCCCGGACUUCAAAUCCGGUGCACGGGGUGAGGAGCCCCGUGGGUGGGUUCGAUUCCCAUGCGCUUCCGCCA
rnacentral:tRNA from 2 species